AUUGAACGCUGGCGGCAGGCCUAACACAUGCAAGUCGAGCGGAUGACGGGAGCUUGCUCCUUGAUUCAGCGGCGGACGGGUGAGUAAUGCCUAGGAAUCUGCCUGGUAGUGGGGGACAACGUUUCGAAAGGAACGCUAAUACCGCAUACGUCCUACGGGAGAAAGCAGGGGACCUUCGGGCCUUGCGCUAUCAGAUGAGCCUAGGUCGGAUUAGCUAGUUGGUGGGGUAAUGGCUCACCAAGGCGACGAUCCGUAACUGGUCUGAGAGGAUGAAGAGUCACACUGGAACUGUGACACGGUCCAGACUCCUACGGGAGGCAGCAGUGGGGAAUAUUGGACAAUGGGCGAAAGCCUGAUCCAGCCAUGCCGCGUGUGUGAAGAAGGUCUUCGGAUUGUAAAGCACGUUAAGUUGGGAGGAAGGGCAGUAAGUUAAUACCUUGCUGUUUUGACGUUACCGACAGAAUAAGCACCGGCUAACUCUGUGCCAGCAGCCGCGGUAAGAC
rnacentral:rRNA from 1 species